rnacentral:lncRNA from 1 species
UUGGACUUGCAUGCCCCUUUUUUGGGCACGAAUAACUUGGGCGUCUUUAGUUGAAAUUUCCUUGUAUUUCUUUAGACGAAUUGAUCAAUCACCUCAUACAUGGGACAUCAAUCUACGUGGAAUGAUUCAGGCCUAUAAAUAUCAUAAGCUUCUAUUCAGUCACAUGCCCAUACAUAUCAUAAGCUAUGUUGAAUAAUUAACUGAACGUUUAGCGCACAAUGAUUCAAAAGUUACGAAAGAGCAGCACCAAGUGUACUUGGUAGUGGCUCAGGAACGACGGCAGGCAAAGCUGGGCAUAACUAGAAGGUACCAUGCAGAGUUUCAUCCCUUGAAUGGCUUAUCAUACCGUCGCAACUGGCCCUGAAAGCCGCACUAACAUACCAUCACACCAGAGACAAACAGCAAAUUCAAUAUAAAAAACAAGCAUGCCCAACAAAAGUCAUCCCAAAUAACUGAUGAUCCACAAGUUUAAGAAAGACGAUUAAUAAGAGUAUUUGCUCUCAACAUCACACCCAAAAUACAAUGAGAGCGAACAAAACAUAUAGAUAC